rnacentral:rRNA from 1 species
AGCUUGCUUCUAUGACGUUAGCGGCGGACGGGUGAGUAACACGUGGGCAACCUGCCUGUAAGACUGGGAUAACUUCGGGAAACCGAAGCUAAUACCGGAUAGGAUCUUCUCCUUCAUGGGAGAUGAUUGAAAGAUGGUUUCGGCUAUCACUUACAGAUGGGCCCGCGGUGCAUUAGCUAGUUGGUGAGGUAACGGCUCACCAAGGCAACGAUGCAUAGCCGACCUGAGAGGGUGAUCGGCCACACUGGGACUGAGACACGGCCCAGACUCCUACGGGAGGCAGCAGUAGGGAAUCUUCCGCAAUGGACGAAAGUCUGACGGAGCAACGCCGCGUGAGUGAUGAAGGCUUUCGGGUCGUAAAACUCUGUUGUUAGGGAAGAACAAGUACAAGAGUAACUGCUCGUACCUUGACGGUACCUAACCAGAAAGCCACGGCUAACUACGUGCCA